GUCUUUAGGUAGAAAUCCAUGUGUGUUCUUUCAACAAAGUCCUUAGUAUCUAUGUGGCCCUGAAUUGUGCCUGUGAGUUACAUACUUCCCCUACCCCAAUAUAUACACAUGGUAUGGCGGGGUGGGGGGGGGGGUAGUAUUCUAGAGAGCAUACAAGGGCUCUAUUAGAAGCAUCCACAAAUGGGAAUUUCCAUUCCAGUCUUCUAGGGCCCAUGGCUAGUAGAUUUAUAUGUAUCACAUAGCAAAAUGACAAUGAAGUAGAGGUGAGAACUGAUUCCAGGAAUAAUAAUGAUGAUGUGCAUGGUAUAGCGCUGAACAACUUAGACUCUCUGUGCCUCAGUUACUUCAUCUAUGAAAUGAGCACAAGACUACUUCCUAAGGAGGCUAGGGUGAGGAUCAAAGAACACAUGGAAAGGUGUUUUUUAAAUGACAAAGGGCAAAAUAUUAUUAAUAUAUUUUGUAAUUCUAAGGAUUAAACUCAUAGACUCAUAUGCUAGGCAAUCAGUCACUUGUAAAUUGUUUUAGUACAAUGAGAUGUAAUGUCUACCUUUAUAAAGACAGCCAAAAAUGCAGAGCACACCCAGGUUACCUAUGGAUCCUCUAGUAUACAGUCAUUUCUAAACCCUGAGAAAAAGGUGAGGUCUCCUACAAAGGAUGACCAACGUCUUUAUUUUUCUGAGGAAGUAAGAAAAGGAGUCUGAGCUUCCUAGGUCUACUCUGUUUUGUUUUCCCCUACUUCAUAGUCUGAGUCACUUUUCUUGGCUCUCAAUCUACAACCUAUGGAUGCAUAACAAAUGAAAGCAGCAGUACUUGGCCUCAGGGAAAAUGGCAUCAAAAAGCAAGGACUAAAUACACACCCAUAGUGACCCUCUGCCCAGAUAUGAAGAUGGAUGAACUCCAGCACUGAAGAAGCCAAACAGUCCUCAUGGUGCAUGGGUGACAGGUUAUGCUCAAAUGUCAGAGGCCUUUAUUUUGGCAGAUAUGGGAGGCACAUAAAUAUUUUAUGGGCAUAAAAACAAGAACCCCGAAGUGAUGUGAUGGCUUUUCUUUUUAAUUUAAAUUUUCUGUCCUUUGGAAGACUGUCUUUUACAUUCAGGAAAGAAGUCUUUUCCUGAGGAGUUUACACUGAGCAGUGUAAAACAGAGUGGCUAAUUAGGUGUGUCUGGAGAAUGCAGCCUGUGUUCCAGUUUCGCAAUUGCAGACUUCAAAAUCUAUUGCUUGAAUCUAUGGUAAGUCAAAGAGCAUAUGACUCUAGGUUGAGAGAGGAAAGAUUAGAAACAUUUGACCUCUUAUCAAUUUCAACAGUGUCCAAAUAGGGACUAAAAUGACUGAUGCUCACCAGAGUCCCAGCUCUAGCAAUAUUGUCACCUAUUUUACAGUAUUUUAACCAAGUUCCCAUAUCUUCUUUUUACAACACCAUUAACUGCUAUACAGAUAAAGUCUAGAUGAUAAAAUAGGACAUGAUUUUUUACAAAUAGAUACAAGUACAAUGUUGACCAGAUAAUGCUACAUUAAUUAUGUACACCUUGUUUCUUUAGAGGCAGGAACCUCUUUGAGGAGACCAUCAGCUUUCUGCUCUCUGCCUGCUGUGCCUACCCUCACCAUGGAAGCUUAUCCUGUGCUUUAACUCCAUUUUUGAAGGAGACUCUUAGAAGGAAAGCCAAGCCCUUCUACAGAACUUCUUGGCACCUUUCUUAGUCUACACACAACCAAGAUUUUUUUUAUUAGCCUAGAUAUCAUCUCUUCCUAAGUUACAUCUCUUAGUACAGUAAAAUGAACACAAUCCCUGCCUCUCUUUUAUAAAAUAUGUUUCCAAAGUGGAGAUGAAUUCUUCCAUCAGUCUUUCCCCUCCACAUCAACAUUCUAUCACAUCUGGUGAGGUGAACACUUUCCGAGCAGUCCUUUGAGAGGCCAGGUAGACUUAGGCUGCUCUGUGGGAUUCAGCCUUUCCAUAUAUACAUGUGGUUUGCUACAAAAAUAUACUUUACUUCAAGUCCUCGAUGAUGAGUGCUUCAGAUCUUCAUGGGGGAAUUAAGAGCAACAGACAGGCUAAGCGCACUACAGUUUGUACCUGAACAUUUGCACAAUACCUUUCUCAACAAACUCUACCUAGGCUCUGUGCAGCCAGAGGUCAGGUGCUGUUUAAGUGAGCACUGUUUUCUGACAAUCCAGGAGGACAACUCAGCUUCUCAGGCUUUGUAGUUAUGAAUAGGUGUUGUCAGGGUCAGCUGCCCAUUGGGAGCCACUUCAUUGGCAUCGUCCUCUAACAAUCCCGACACAUCUGCAUUGGGGAUGCUGUCAUGGUAGCUGCUGAAACUGAUAUUGUCUUCUUUCAGCUCGAUGGUCCAAAAGGGAGCAUUGAGUUUCCGAUUUUGGUACUCUCGGUACAUGUACACAGCUCCUACAAAUCCCAUUAGCAGCACUACCACAAUGAUGAUGACUGUCAAAAUGAUGAUGUUAAACUGGGUCCAUGAUACAUCAGCAAGAGCUGAGGUGCUGUUUUCAGAAGAGCUUACUGCAAAGAUAGUCUGCAGGGUUGUGGGGGCAAAAGUACUAUUUAUAACAGGGGUGGGCACUGAUGUGGUCAAAGAGGCAUUGGAAACCAAAAUGGUAGAACCUUCAGGAGUUGGAACAAUAACUUCUGAAAAUAAAAACAGAGAAUGAAAUGUAAAAGACAAAAUUAUCUAGUUUUGAGAAACAAUAAAAGAAAUACACAUGAAAGUGAAAGUUGAUAUGGAAUGUUGACAUGGUACUCUGCUUAGAGGAAUGCAAGUUAAAAAUAAUUUUUAAAUAAAUACAAUGAUAAGAAAUGGAGUCUGGAAAGCUCAUUUAUUACAUCUUACAUCCAGGUCUGUUCUUUAAUGUGUAUAACACCUACACCAAACCUUUAGAAAAAUUCUAACAUGGACGUUUUCCACCCUUCUUAUCUAUCAUGGACAUUUCUGCAAAGGCUGUAAAUAUGUCACCAUUAAGCUCUAAAUCAUAUGGUUUAAAAUGAAAAUUUUCUGACAUAGAAUAUAUCCAUCACAUCUGAUGGAAUUUUAUGAAAGUAAAAUUAUCCUUAAAGAAACUAUAAAAUUAUAUUCCAGAAAACAGAAUUUAAUGCUCAGAGUUAUUGUCAGCCAAAAGAGAAAAGAGGUUUCCUUUAAUUCCAUGUGUAGAGAGCUCUUGCUUUGUGUGUUGUUGAAUUACUUUAUGAUCAAGGAGCUACAUUUUAGACCUCUUAUGAUAGAUAGCAUAGCUCAGUGGAAGGCUGAAAAGCUUUGGGCUAGGUUUUGGAGUGGUUUGGGCUACAAGUAAGUUAAUCUCUUAGAAUUUUAGAUUCUUCAUCUGUUAAAUACGAAUAAUAAUGUCUACUUCACAGAGUUCUUGGGAAACUUUAUGUGUAUAUUAGUGAUCAUUAUAGGUACUCAAUAAAAUUAUAAUAAAAAUAGCUAUUACUGUUCAUCACUUCAGUCUACUACAUUAGUUAGCCUAAAAAUAGCCAAAGCUUGUAUUCCUUCAUGGC
rnacentral:lncRNA from 1 species